rnacentral:rRNA from 1 species
UACGUAGGGGGCGAGCGUUGUCCGGAUUCAUUGGGCGUAAAGCGCGGGCAGGCGGCCCGCUCAGUCGGCCGUGAAAGCGCCGGGCUCAACUCGGCGCGGUCGGGCGAUACUGGCGGGCUGGAGGCUGGUAGAGGGCGGUGGAAUUCCGGGUGUAGUGGUGGAAUGCGUAGAGCUCCGGAGGAACACCAGUGGCGAAGGCGACUUCCUGGCCUGUUCUUGACGCUGAGGCGCGAAAGCUAGGGUAGCAAACGGG